GCAAAUUUCCUUGUCGUCCUAAUAACGACCUGCAUGAAACAUAGAACGAUUCGAUAGCUGUCUUGCACACACAUCAUGGUAAAAUAUUCAUCAGUACAAAGAAUAUGCUGGUGAGCUAAGACCACACUAAAGGACAAAAAGACCCUCUGAAGCUUUAUAGGGAUAAAAUCUAGUACACAUCCAGGCGUUUAUAGCUGAUGGCCCCAAGAAUUCCUUCCCAGUAUUAAAUGCUAUCUUAAUGAGCUUAAAAUUAAUCUACCAACACCAAGCUACUCUACGGAUAACAGGCUUAAUUUCGGUAAUACGAAAGCUCACAUUAUCAAGAAAAAUGCACCUCGAUGUCGGCUUAUCAUCACCAAAAUCUGUAGCUAGCUUAUUGGUGGGAGUGCUCAUCCCGUAAAUCGGUACGUGAGCUGGGUUCAAUACGAUGG
rnacentral:rRNA from 1 species